rnacentral:lncRNA from 1 species
GAGAUAUAUGAAUCCACUAGGAAUAUAGCAGAUGGAGAAUUUGGUAAGUAUCCUAAUUACUUACUUUCCAGUUAAAUCUCCAUACCUUCAAAUGCUGGUGACAAAUAGUCACACUUAGAAUGACUAAUUUGGCUUAACUACUCUAUUCUUAGACUGGACACAGUUGCAGCUCAGAAGCAAAUUACUGAGGUGGAGAAUUACAAAGCUCUUCUUAUCUCAGGAAAUACACAUUGUCUAAUUCUGAAGAGAACAUGUGAAACUCAACAACUGAAACGUUUCUCUGAGUUUUGUGGGCAGAACAGUGUCCUUGGAUGGUUG